GAAAAGGAAUUAAUAAUCGGUUCCGAUACGCAAACCGUCCGUUUUACGCCUCACUCGUGCUUUGACCAGUUUGACCAACGGAGACUUUGCCUAGUUCAUCCGCCAGCCAGCCUCGAAUAGCAUGUUACUGAGGCCUCGCUUACUUUUCUUUUUAGCAAAAUCCUGCUUAAACUUCCUUUCCGAAACAUUCUUACGUUGUCUAUGAUCCCC
rnacentral:lncRNA from 1 species